UAGACACCCAACAAUUAUAUGUACCCAACGUAGACGCAAAUAAGAAGAGGGGUUUGUCGUACUCAAGCAAGAGGAUGAAUUGUUGUCUUUGGCAUGGGUGGGUACAAGUGUUGAUCCCUUCAAGGCACGGAGCAAAAAAGGCUCGGCUUUUUGGCAAAGUGUGCACGAUUGGUUUCAUGAGAAAAAGCAAUGUACCUCCACAACAAGGAAGUGAUUAAUGAUCGAAAUCCAAAGUCGCUAAGCACCGAUGAUACACCAUUCAAGAGAUCGUCAACAAGGUAUUGUAGUGUGUACACACAAAUGGAAAACUAGUGGCCAAGUAUGGCGUCACUUCUCGAGCUCCCCGGAUGCCGAAACCAACUUGGAAAUGGGAGAACAAAAGGAGAAAACGAGAAGGGCGGCGACCAAGAUGGCAGAGAAGUUUGAGGAUAUCAUGGUGAAGAAGGAGGAGGCAUGUGUCAAGCGCGGUGAGACCAGGAAGAAAAAAAAGAGUGAAGAGGUUUAGCUUGUUCAUGGAAAUC